UAGAUUUCAGCUGAUGGUUACCGUGGCAGAAAGGAAGGAGAGCGUUCUUCAAAGAGGAGCUUCCCCUCAUGCUUGUUCCCAACCUGAUGCUCGCUGCAAAACGCUUCCAGAACCUCCACAGCUGCUGUCCUUUUCUCUCAAAAAGGCCGAUGUUCUGAUUUUCAGAAUGCUCAGAAGAUUAUACCUCUGAGGGCUGCCAGGAGCCAGGAUUUGGUUUUGGUUUCCAGCACAUGUGGGGAAGCAGUGAAGAUGAAGCACGGGGACAUCAAUCCCUGUCCAGCAGUGCUGUGUGUAGAGAAAGGAAGCCAGGUGCGUUUUCUCAGACCGAUGGAUGUUUAAUCUCCCCUGGUGUCCUGUUACCUCUGGUUUUGUUGCGUGCUGGAGACAAAGAGGCAUGAGGAGUUAACACCAAGAAGUUCUUGUACAACCCAUCUUGCCUUGUUCUUCAAGUCUGACUAUAGAAUUUAAGGAAAAUGCAGAGAAGAGAAAUCUGGCUCCCAUGGGGGAUACACUGAAAAGUUUUCCUUUGUGUCUUGCUACGGCUCAGGAGAAGUUGUCAGAGAUAUCUCCUUGAAGAUGGCAUCCCUGAGUCAUGGGACUGAAGCUAAUGGAAGCCUCGUGCUCGUGUCAACAAACUGCUUCUGUUCCCCUGUGACCCACCUGGGAACGCUGCAGAUUUAUGGUUUGGAGUGGUUCCUCACCGGAGAACUAAUCCAGCUUUGUAGCUGCAGCUGGAACGGGGAGGAAAUCUACACGAGAUUAACUUUACCUUGUUGGUAAGCAGAAGGGUAGCAAAGAUUAGGAGCAUGGGGGAAAGAGGAAUUGAAACUAACCACGGGCAGACACCAACAAUGUGAUUGUGGACAGCGCUGCUGCCAGGUGUGAUGAGUGUCAGCAGUACCUGUCUUUAAGCAGAACGCAAAAUUGAGGGGUGUUGUUACCUUCAGAUGAAACGUAGGCUUUGAUGAGGGAGAUAAUGAGCUGAGCCUCUGGGUGUCAGCCAGCGGUGGUGUUGCUGCACUGUGAGCACUCCAGGGAAGACUCCUUGGGAACUGCGUGUUUUGUGGGGAUUUGAAUGACUUCAAGAUGUUUAUUGUCUGUUAACACCGAACGGAACGGCAUUGAAACAUUCGGUGGAGGAGCUUCUGUGAUGGUGCUGUGACAUGAGAGCUUUUGACUCUGAGGACCUCUCACAGGAAAUUUGCAGGAAGGCAGCUUUCCGUGAAAGCUCUGCUUUUCUGCUCGGAUCGCAGAGAACAUUCAGAA